ACCGCCUGACACCGUGGGUGUGAUGGGGUUACGUUCACACUGGGUGCUCGUCAGCACUGACAAUGGGGCGCUGGCCCCUGUGACUCAAACGCCUGCCCAGGGAGAGUGAGAAGAUGCCUCUGGAGCAGGGAGGCUUGGGGUGUGAGAGGAUUGACGCUGCCCUGGCUUCUAACCGUAACAUCUCAGUGUCUGCGACAUCGGGUGGCACAGCUGAGGACCAACACCACAAAAAUAGACUUGUCUGGAAGUAGCCCUCCCUGUUUUUCAGAAGUAACAGUGGUUUUUAGGAUGGGCUAUUGCAAAAGUUUUCUAGGACAGCCUGUCACUUGACAUUUUAGCCACAAGGUGGCACUACGGCACCUCUGUUUGCCUGCCUGCCCCAUUCUACACACACACACACACACACACACACACUCACACACGCACACGCGCACAGCAAUGUCGAUAGGGACCAUUCAAGUCCCAUCCCCGAGGUGAGCCAGGUACCCCUGUCCAUGUUCCCACUAGGACAGGCUCCGCUUGCUGGCAUCUUGUGCAGAGCACUUAGUUAAUGGCCCAUGGCACAGCCACCCAGAACUGGCUGACUCCAGAAAAGAGCUGGAUAUAGGUCAUAAAUAUAUAUUAACAACCUCAUUCAUCCGCAGGAAACUGCAAAUUGAAAAACCUCCAGAGCAGUCACCAUUGAGAUGAUGCAGCGAUACCGCGGGUGCGGCCACGGAACGUCCUCAGGACAGAUGUGAUGCGAACACUUCGGAGAACUACUAGAGCUGGAGAGACCCUCAUGCCUGUGAGCCCACAAUCCCACUCCGAUGUACAGACCCGGAGGGAGGCCCACACGUGCAUCAAAAGGCAGCACAAGAGUGCCCAUCACACAACCACAGCAGCCCCAACAGGCGGCCACCCAACGCCCAUCAGCAACGAGAAGAAUAAACGCAGCUGGGCACGCGCACAACGGAGCGCUCCCAGCAACGAGAAGAAAUGGCGUCAGCGCCUCUGACAACACCGUUCUCAUAAGAACACUCUAAUUUUCUGACUGAUACAAAUGAAAAUCAACCAGAAGCAGGCUCCUUGACUGCCAGGAUGUCCUUCAACAGCCACAACAGCCUGACUGUCUAACAACAGCCAAAGGAAGAAGCAACAGUCAGGAAGCAUCUAGCUGUGGGUUAGUACCAGGUGCACAACGCAGUGCCCCACAUCUCCAUCUCCCAUUCAACUGCCCUGAGAAAAGUCUGGGAACGAGGGACACGGAGAGACUCAGGGUAAAAGCAAGGCACGUGCGCACAUCAACAUGCACUCCAACUUGCUAAUUUAAAAAGUUAUGUUCAUCUAUAUUUACAAAGACAUACAUUUUAUUUAAGAUAAAAGCCAAAUUACUGAUGUAAAGGUGUUAUUCUGAAACUGGACUUGACGGUAUCUCAGAGGCAGAGUAGGAUAACAUUUCGUUUUAAAUUGUGGUUCUUGGGUGAUGAAGACGAAUAUCACAAUUAGAGAAAGAAUAAGCAAGGAAGUUAGAAAUACUGCUUAUAGGUUUUUUAAGUGUUUUAAAUGAUGUUAUAUAUGAAAAAUAUAAAUUCUGUAUUAGCUUCUGUGUUUUGUAAUAACAAAAUUAGAUAGUACAUUGUAGAAAUUUUGGAAAAUACAGAAAAAGACAAAGAGGACAAUAGUGACCUAUAAACCAA